AUUAAUUUUCCUGGAUGUCCCUAUGUAGAGAAGCCCUGAGGUUCUGAUCCAGCACUUAAGCACAAGCUUUAAACUUGUGCUUAAGUGUUUUGCUGCCCUGGGCAUUUGUGGCUAAAUAAGAUGUCAAUCUCCAAGGUUAUCAGUGUCUAUCACCCUGUAAUGAAAAUAAAGCUGGCUCAGAGAGAAUGGACCGCUCUGCCAGUGGAAGGGUAAAGCAUAUGGGAUCCAAAACAGUCUUGUAAAAUCAGCUGACCCAAGUACAACAGCCAAACCAGAUGAACUAAGCCUUGAUGAUGACAUCUGCUCCAAGGAGAGGGUUGCUGCAGCAACGGGGCUCUCCUGGAAGCAAACUGAGCAACUACUGUAUGAGCUACAAUACUACUGGGCCUACUCCGCUCCCGUGAAGCACUACUGCAAGAGGCUGUGGAAUCUAGCUGCAUAGUCCCUUGAACUUCUGUGUCCUGAGGGAUGAAAGCACCUGUGGGGCAGAGGGGAAGGAAGAGGAACUGCGGCAGAAUUGGGCAGUGCAAAGCAGGUGUAAUAAGGACAGGAGGAGCUGGGGAACGAUUAAAGUUGCAUCAUUCCCUGCGUCAUUCCCUGCUGUCAUUCCCACUGGGUUCUAGCUACCACAGGACUUGUCCAUUUUUCCACACUUGCCUGCUAGAGUGUGAUCCACUGCCAUCUGCUGACCUAUCUACAGCACCAGCAGAGAACUCUUCCUAUAAACUAUCCCCCUCUGCCUAAAUCCUACAGCAUGCUUUCUGCUCAAGAAUGAAAGGGCACGGGAGAAGCUGGGUGAAAUUAUGACUUGGAGUCACUGUUUCUUCUGUGGUCCUCUCCUGAUGUGGUGCAGUUACAUGCUGACCUCCAUUCAAGAGCAGUUUAACGAAGGUGCAGAGUGGGUUCUAUAAGAACUAUCAGAUCUGAAGUAAAAUCAGAAAGUUAUUGAAGAAGAGCUCCAAACUCCCUUAAAAAUGUGUCCAUGUGGUGCUGGCUAUUUGAAGAAUGACCCUUUUUACAUUUCAAUGUCAUAUCUGCCAUCAUCCUUUCAGGAGCAACAGACCCAAAUGGAAAGAGAAUGCAAACUAUGUCCUGCUGAGAAACUUGGAUCUGUUUUGCAGGUAGAGUUGAGCUAUGCUUCCCUGCACAUGAAAUCAAAGGAAACUUGUUAAAAUGUAAUUCUCCACUCUCACCAUAAGCAUCACAAUCUGUGGAUACAGUAUGUUGCAUACUUCUGGUUGCCUAGGGGAUUGUACCCCGUCCUGGUGGAUAGCGACCUGGUCUUGUCAAUUUCUGGCUGGUGCAAUAUACCUGGGUAUAAAGCAGUCAGCCCUUGGAGACAAUCCAGCUAGUACAAAAUGUGGCAGUUCAUCUCCUCAGGAGAUUCAGCAGCCCUGUCCUCCACUCUCUAUGUUGGCUGUCCAUACAUCAUUGAGUCAAAUUCAAGGUUUUGCCCACUAUUUUCAAGACGCUCAAUGGUCUGGGCCCAGCAUAGCGAAAAUAUGCUUGGAAGUUCUGUGAUGAGAACUCGACACAAUGGAGCCAUCCACAGCAAGUGUAACGCUCGUCUGUGAAGGAGACAGAGCUUUCUCGGCGGGUGGGUGGGGAAGAUGUUCAAGAACAAGGAACAGACUCCCAUUAGGGAAUAAGAAUGACCAGAAAUGGAUUCAGAAACCACCAAUAUUUCUCUAAUAUAAACACAGUGUGCAUAUGAUUUAUAGUAAAAAAUCAACUAAAUAGCAAUAUGCUACCCUGGCCUGUACACACACUUACCCCGGGGAGAGGAUCGGAGAGAGAAGGAAUCACACACGAGAGAUGUUAGUCACAUCACUUAAUGGAAGGCAUUCAGGGACUGUGGUGAUGAGGGUGGUGUGAGAACGUGAAUAGACUAGAACUUCCCUAACGAUACAACGUAAGCCUGUUAGACGUGACGUGCGUACCUUUUCCUGUGUAUCACCAAGGGCAGGUGGAGAUUUCCUUAGAAGCAGUGAACCAAAUCAGGACUAUUGUAAACCCAUGGAAGUUGGUGGUUAUACUAGGAAUUAGUCUGGUCCAUUGAACAUCACGUUAGCACAUUCAAAGAAAAUUUGUCCU